rnacentral:rRNA from 1 species
AUUGAACGCUGGCGGCAUGCUUUACACAUGCAAGUCGAACGGUAACAGGGAGCUUGCUCCGCUGACGAGUGGCGAACGGGUGAGUAAUGCAUCGGAACGUACCGUGUAAUGGGGGGAUAACGUAGCGAAAGUUACGCUAAUACCGCAUACGCCCUGAGGGGGAAAGCGGGGGAUCGUAAGACCUCGCGUUAUACGAGCGGCCGAUGUCGGAUUAGCUAGUUGGUGGGGUAAAGGCCUACCAAGGCGACGAUCCGUAGCGGGUCUGAGAGGAUGAUCCGCCACACUGGGACUGAGACACGGCCCAGACUCCUACGGGAGGCAGCAGUGGGGAAUUUUGGACAAUGGGGGCAACCCUGAUCCAGCCAUGCCGCGUGAGUGAAGAAGGCCUUCGGGUUGGUUAAAGGACUCUUUCUAGACGGAAAGAAAUACGCACAGGUUAAUACCUUAGUGUGGAUGACGGUACCGUAAGAAGAAGACACCGGCUAACUACGUAGCCAGCAGCCGCGGUAA